GACAUAGGUGGCGAACGUUAUCCGGAAUUACUGGGCGUAAAGUGUGCGUAGGUGGUUUAAUAAGUUACUGGUGGCAAAUCGGGGCCCAACCCUGUGGAAGUCAGUCAUACUAUUGAACUAGAGGACCGGAGAGGUUAACGGAAUGAUUUGUGUAGCGGUAAAAUGCUCAAAUAUGAAUUGGAACACCAAACGGCGAAGGCAGUUAACUAUUCGGUGCCUGACGUUGAGGCACGAAAGCGUGGGGAGCAAGACGG
rnacentral:rRNA from 1 species